AUUUCAAAGAAGUUGGACGACAAAAAAAGCCGGUCAGGAAUGUCCUUGAAGGCUUGGAACAACAGAGAGCGCUUCAAAAAGCCAAAAAAUGAGGGUUUUCAGUAAAAAAUCUUCAAAAGAUGUCGUUUUAUUGUAUUAUUGUAAGUGGCUAAUCGCAUGGCUGCCAAAAUUUUAUCAAUAUUGGAGCUGAAUAAAAAUUUGAGUCCUACGUACAUCUAUGUUCAACGUCGAUUGAUGGGCAAAAAUCGAAAAAAGUCAAAUCCAUUCAUGAAACAUUGAGACAUCAAGACACUCCACAGCACCCAUCUUUCCUUAAUUUAAUUAAAAAAUUUGUUAAAUAUUUUCCAAAAAAUUGAUGUUUGUUAAUUUUUAUCCCUAAAAGUUACAAUUUUUAAUAAUUUUUAAAGGUAAUUUUGUCCAAAAAUAAUAAUGUUCGUAACGCUGAGUUGCUCCGAAAGUACCAUCGAUUGAGGUCACAUUACAGCUCUCGUUAAUUUUGCAUGAUUUUCUAAAAAUUUAUCAAAGGAUCGAUUCCUAUAUUUGUUGUUAAUUUAAUAAAAUUGUAAUUUUUUCAAUAAUUUUUCUUCAAUUAA